GAUGAAGACGUAGCGAAAUGCGAUAAGUAAUGUGAAUUGCAGAAUUCAGUGAAUCAUCGAAUCUUUGAACGCACAUUGCGCCCGCCAGCACUCUGGCGGGCAUGCCUGUUCGAGCGUCAUUUCAACCAUCAAGCCCCCAGGGGCUUGUGCUGGGGCCCUGCGGCUGCCCGCAGGCCCUGAAAACCAGUGGCGGGCUCGCUAGUCACACCGAGCGCAGUAGCACAUCUCGCUCAGGGCGUGCGGCGGGCUCCUGCCGUGAAACCCCCCACUGUAACCCCAAAGGUUGACCUCGGAUCAGGUAGGAAUACCCGCUGAACUUAAGCAUAUCAAUAAGCGGAGGA
rnacentral:misc_RNA from 1 species